CCUCCCCACCUUGCGCGCCCAGCCCGGGCUCCGCUUUCCUUCCGGGGAAAGAGAAAAGGUCCCCGCUCGGCCGCCGCCUCUUAAAGGGGCAGCGCCGCCCCUCCCUCUCCAUCAUUCCUAUCGCGACUCCGCCCUCUCUCUCAGACACCUGUCGGGAACCCUUAAAGCCUGGAUUUCCCCCGUCUAGCAGCAAGCUUCUUCCUAGGAGCGUGGCCUUCGGCACAAGACAGAUUGGACGGGCGGGGCCAGAGGUGGGAUUUGCCUGGCGCUCCGCAGAGGCUGCAACUAGAAAGGCCGUUCUAGGCACCGCCAGCACCGCUGUCCCGGCUGGGCAUACCAGGCAUUGGCUCUUCGGGGGGAAUGAUCGUCUGUGUUCGGCUGCCUGGAAUGCGGACCUCCCCAGCACUGCGAGUCGCUAAAGAGCUCACACCUGGACAAGCCCACACGAACAGAUGGGACUCUCUUCAUUGUCUGAGGGAAGGAAGAGUCCCAGAGCCCCUUCCUGGGUGAACCCUCACCACCACCCCCAACCACAGUGAAAAUCUACGGUACCCUCCUUCCUGCCUCUCAAGCCAUUUGGGAGCUGCUGACCUCAGAGGCUGACAUUAUGUAAACAACUGAACCUUUCACGCUCUCUCCGUUCAUGAGUGAUGCCGUCCGUCUUGACGCCCGUCUUGACGUUUCAAUGAAACCUUCCAUGAAAUCCCUUCAGCUUUUGCAAGGUGACUGCAACAAUAUGCAAGCUGUGUGUGUUCUGUGUAUGAGUCAGGGAGGCUGCUGGGAGAAGGAAAAGGAGCUCAAAGGAGAAACAGGCCUGGGAGACCUCAAAAGAAGAAAUGUAGAUGUUGGCCUAACUUGGGGUAAAGUUUUCCCAGCUGGAAUAGUGACAAUGUCAAUAUUCUCAGAAGGCGGCUUCCGUUCCUCUUGGAGCACUUGCUGUGUUCACACCAGCGUGACUGACUACACAGCCUCAGUCAGCUGCUGCAGGGACUACAGGCCACAUAGUGGCCUGCUACUAGGGUUGAGCACUGACUAAUCUGUCUUCUUACCUGAGCAAAGGCACCUUCCUACUCCAGGCCUUGGGAUCCCAUCCGGUAAGCAAAGGCUAGAUAAAACGCCUUCUUAGUACUCUCCAUCAGCGUCCAGUGUGUCUGGAGGCUCCUCAGAGCUGUAGAACUAAAUGGACCAGCUCCGCUACUGAACCUAAACUCAGCUCAUUCCCUGACUCAGAUUGAAGAUACAAAUUACUUGGGAGGCAGAAAGGGAGUAGAGAGGGAGGGAGGAGUGGCAUAGUCUGAAUAAGUUUAUCAGAUUUCCUUUUCUACUGACCCAGAUUCGGCCCUCUCUACCUCAAGCCUCAAGGCAAAAUCCCUCUCUGUAGCAGCUUAGACCUGAGUCCCCCACUUGGACUAACAAAGGUGAAGAUUUCUGCUAGAAA